rnacentral:rRNA from 1 species
GUGGCGAACGGGUGAGUAACACGUGAGCAACCUACCCUUCACUCUGGGAUAAGCCCUGGAAACGGGGUCUAAUACCGGAUAUGAGACGUACAGGCAUCUGUAGCGUCUGGAAAGAUUUAUCGGUGGGGGAUGGGCUCGCGGCCUAUCAGCUUGUUGGUGGGGUAGUGGCCUACCAAGGCGACGACGGGUAGCCGGCCUGAGAGGGCGACCGGCCACACUGGGACUGAGACACGGCCCAGACUCCUACGGGAGGCAGCAGUGGGGAAUAUUGCACAAUGGGCGCAAGCCUGAUGCAGCGACGCCGCGUGAGGGAUGACGGCCUUCGGGUUGUAAACCUCUUUCAGCAGGGAAGAAGCGCAAGUGACGGUACCUGCAGAAGAAGCGCCGGCUAACUACGUGCCAGCAGCCGCGGUAAUACGUAGGGCGCAAGCGUUGUCCGGAAUUAUUGGGCGUAAAGAGCUCGUAGGCGGUUUGUCGCGUCUGCUGUGAAAACCUAAGGCUCAACCUUGGGCUUGCAGUGGGUACGGGCAGACUAGAGUGCGGUAGGGGUGACUGGAAUUCCUGGUGUAGCGGUGGAAUGCGCAGAUAUCAGGAGGAACACCGAUGGCGAAGGCAGGUCACUGGGCCGCAACUGACGCUG